ensembl:snoRNA
UGGACCAAUGAUGAGAGAGUAUUUAUGAACAAAGGAUCGUGAUUAAUUUGGUUCUAAGUAAAAUACAGAGGUCCAUU